rnacentral:rRNA from 1 species
AUUGAACGCUGGCGGCAGGCCUAACACAUGCAAGUCGAGCGGAGGGGGGGACGGGUGCGUAAUGCCUAGGAAUCUGCCUGGUAGUGGGGGAUAACGUUCGGAAACGGGCGCUAAUACCGCAUCCUAUCAGUUGAGCCUAGAUCGGUUUAGCUAGUUGGUGGGGUAAAGGCCUACCAAGGCGACGAUCCGUAACUGGUCCGAGAGGAUGAUCAGUCACACUGGAACUGAGACACGGUCCAGACUCCUACGGGAGGCAGCAGUGGGGAAUAUUGGACAAUGGGCGAAAGCCUGAUCCAGCCAUGCCGCGUGUGUGAAGAAGGUCUUCGGAUUGUAAAGCACUUUAAGUUGGGAGGCGUUACCAACAGAAUAAGCACCGGCUAACUCCGUGCCAGCCGCCGCGGUAAUAC